rnacentral:misc_RNA from 1 species
UCCUUCUAUAGUCGAGGGCAAGAAAUCAGUAGCGUACGAGUACGCGAUCAGCGAAGGUGGGUGAAUGCAUUUGUUGUCAGACGAGAGAAGUACGAAAACAACGGGCCACCACCUUCCGGUGCGUGCGAACGGUGUGAAAACGGGCUGCCAGGUAGUGAGGGUUGCAAACUAGGCGGCUCGUUCAGCAGCAUGCAACCACCACCUAGAAAAGGAAAUUAUGCAAAAUUUCUUAAAAAUGUACACACCGAACAAGCUGCAAAGUUGCAAGCGAAAAAUCAACAUGAGUGCGAUUUGCUGGAAGAUAUUCGUAACUUUACUAUUAAAAAAUCCGCGAUCGAAAAGUCAUAUUCCGAGGCAUUGCUCAAAAUAUCUUCCGCAUAUUUGAAUAAAAAGAUACCAAACAUUCCGGAUCUCAAGGUUGAGGGAGUAGAUGAAAAAUGGAAUAUGUGGAAUGUAUGGAGAACGGUACUCGAGGAAAAUGAAAAACUUGCGAGAGCACGAUUAGCUGCCGUUGAAGUUUUUCAACAACAAAUCGCCGACGAUGCGAAAAGUUUAAGAAUGCACAAAAUUCAAAUUUCGAAAAAGGCAAUCGACCAAUUAUUGAUAGUACAAAAAGAGUUACAAGCCUGUGUACAGGAUGUCGAUAAAACGAAAAAAUUGUACUUCGACGAGGAACACAGUGCUCAUGACGUUCGUGAUAAAGCGAAAGAUAUAGAAGAAAAAUUAAAGAAAAAGAAGGGUUCCUUCUUCCAGUCAAUAACGUCACUGCAAAAAAAUAGCGCUAAGGUAAGCUCAAAACGCGAUGCUUUGGAAGAAAAAUCAACAGGAGCUCGCAAUGAUUAUUUACUUAGUCUCGCUGCUGCCAAUGCUCAUCAAAAUAGAUAUUUUGUAGUUGAUUUACAAUCUACUAUGCAAUAUUUGGAACAAGGCGUUUACGAUAAAGUAGCUGAAUAUUUAACACUUAUGGGUCGUACCGAACUUCUAACAUGCCUGGCAACGCAAAAUAGUUUUGGAAAAAUUCGCGAUCAAGCUCAACAGCUCACUAGGGAAUAUAAUAUACAAUGCUGCUGCCUAUAUUAUCCUGUCUUAAAGCAGCACAUACAAUAUGAAUUUGAAGCUUGCGAUAGUGAUCCGGUAGAAAGGAUAACUGCUGAUCAUGCUGCUGCUACUACUUUGGGUAAAGAAACGCGUCGCUGGUCGACGAGAAUUGCUCGUGAAGUUGCUAGUAUACGAGAAAAUAAUCGAAAAUUACUAAUACUUCAGCAGCUGAAGGACUCUGGACAGAAGACUGAUCCUAGCGAUCCAAAUGGGCCUGACGUAGAUACUAAAAUAGAUGAAUUAAAACAUAGUAUUCGGCGGGCAGAGACUGCAAAAUUGAAAGCAGAGGCAAGAAUAGAAUGUCUUCGACACGGCGGAGUGAACGUCGACGAAUUUCUUCAAGAAGCUGAAACGUUGAGUGUCCAAGACAUGCCAAGAUCCGCAAGUUCUUUGUCGGUUAGAACUGAUGCAUCCGGUGCAGGGCAGGAAAAUCCUUCCUCUGACUCAUUCUAUGAUAGUGAUGGUGAUGGUGGUAGUGAUUUAACAACGGUAGAAAGACCUGGUACACGUAAUGCACCACAACAAGAGGAAGAGGUUCCAGAAGAAAGACAAAGGCAUGAUAGUGAUGAGGUUGAUGCUUUACUCGAACAAGAGAAACAACGGAUAGAACAGUUAACUGCUGGUUGGGAUGACCCAACAGCUGUUGAUUGGGCAAAUGAAGAGAAAGAUGAACAAGUUGAAACCCAAGAACCUUCUGCUCCUGUUCAACAAAUAUACAAAUGCACGGCACUAUAUUCAUACACGGCACAAAACCCAGACGAAUUGUCGAUUGUCGAAAGCGAACAACUCGAUGUUGUUGGCGAAGGUGACGGAGAUGGUUGGUUGAGGGCUCGAAAUUAUCGCGGGGAAGAGGGUUACGUACCACAAAAUUAUUUGGAUGUUGAACGAGAACAGGAUGCAACGUCUGGUCUUUCUUCUCAAGGACCAGGCCUUGUCCAACAAAUAUCCUUCUCUUCUGUUGAUUAUACUAUUGAUGAUCAUGAUGCUGUUGAUCCUGAUGCUAAUUUACAACCUGCUAUAGAACAGCAACAACCGGAGGCCAUUGUGCAAAAUCAUAUAAAUGUUGUAGAUCUUGAACAAUAUUGUAUCGCUCUUUACGAUUACGAUGCUACUUGCGAGGAAGAACUUAGCUUCCUUGAAGGUGAUAUCCUUAAAGUACUUAGGAAAGAACCCCAUGAUGUUGAUGAUGGUUGGUGGGAAGGAGAAUUACGAGGAUCCCGAGGAUUGUUUCCAUCUCUCGUUGUCGAACCAUGUGCUCCUGAUGGCUCGCCUUUAACUCCUCAGGACGAUAUGACACCCCCUAGUUCUGCUCCACCUGUCUUUACACCACCCGAAGUGCCGGAAUUCUUGCUGGAACAAGAAGCCGCACAAUUUAUCGCUAAUGAACUUAUCGAUGGCAAAGCUGAAGAAAACGAAGAACAAAGUAGUUUCGCAAUAAAUUUAACGAGAGGUCAGAAGGAUCAUUACGGCUCGCAAUUUGAUGAGGAAGAAACAUCCGAACCGCCAGGGAUAAUCGUUGUGGAAGUAUCCGAAGAUGUGGAAGAUAAGACUACUACUGGCGAGAACGAGAAACAAUUAUCGGAAAAUAUUACGGAGAAUACUGGAGACAGUGGAAAGGAAGAUUUUGGUUUGGGUGUAGCACAAAUUGUUAUUACAGCGGCAACUCCAAUGGAAGAAGUUGAACAUCCAUUUCCUGGGGUAAACGAGAAUACGGAUGAUACGGUUAAAUCAACGGAAGUUUCUGAUGGAAGUUCUGAAGCGGAUUUACCGUCAAGCGUUACCCCAGAUAUCAAUGAAAGCGACUGCAAAGAAACAACUGUCAUUAUGAACGAACAUGAUGAAGUUACUGAAGUUACUGAAGUUACAGAAGUUCCCGAGGAUAUAGAAGAGAAAUCAACGAUCGAUGAUUUGCCAGCCGAUUCGGCGCCCUUUCCAUUGAGUAGUAGUUCUGGUAGCGAAGCAGAUUCAACGUCCGGUCCGAGUACGGCAGAUAACUCUCAGUCAAUUCCGUCGCGAGGCACUGUGAUAGAUGCACAGGAAGCUGAAGAGAUAGCAAUUAUACUCGAAAAGGUAGUUUGCGGUGGGAGGGCAAGUAUUCCCGACGAAUUACAACCUGACCAACUAGAAAAGCUUCAAAAUUUAAAAGAAUCGAAUGCCUAGGAAUGACUAUACCUCGGAGAUGAUACCGACUAUCCUGCCUUAACAAAUAAAUGGGCUCUUCCAAAGAAUCAUCAGAAUAAGUUCCAGCAUUUGUUGGAGUUUUGGAAAUCUCCCGAGGUUAUUGGGAAAAAAGACUAAUGAAUUAACCAAACAACCAAAGAUUUUUAUGUUAAUACAACGUACACAAAUCUUUUGCUAGGCAACACUCUAGUAACAUAUGUAAACCAAGAAGUUGCGACUUUUGCAAUUUGCGAGGCAUCUAUGUACAGUUGUAAGGCGACUGCUAUUCCUGCUGCAUUAACAACUGCAGUUAACUUGCCAAAGUUACUCUUAGCUGCUCCCACAGCGUUCGAUACAUCUUCUUCCGAAGUGACCUAGACAAAUAUUCGUCGUAUAUAAAAUUAUAUAA